UAUAAUUACAAAAUUCUCUUCAUACAUAAAAAAUGCACACAUUUGAAGCACAAAUCACCUACGUGUAUAGAGUUCGGCUGGGAUACUAUCGAUAGCAUGAAACGUUUGGUGCUAUCAAAUUUUUCGUCGUUAGAUUUAAUCCUUUGACUAUUUUUAUCUGUUAGAUUAUACUAUUAAACUAAUAUAAGACUCAUUCAACCCUAAUGAGCCCAUAUUAUGUUAACCGUAUAUUUUCUUAUCAAAAAAUCAAAAAUCUAAUAGCAUUAAUAACUUAAUAUUAUUGAUAGUAUUCUGGCCGGACUAUAUACAUAUACAAGCCCUCGAAUCAAAUUAAGAAUUGAGAAUUUCCGACCUCGGGAUGCCUAACGGUCACAUGCGUUCAAAGAGCAAAAGAGCAAAACCCCAACCGUGAUCACAUUUAAACCACACUCGACACCACUCCACCCCCUCACACUUCAUAUCCCGCGCCCUCCCCACCCUCAACACAACACAACACAACACAGCACAACACAUACAUGCACACACUCUCACUCACUUAAAACUCCCAUGCACACACAUUCCCCUCCCCUCCCCCUACUACUUACUCCUUCCUCCUCUUCCUCCUCCAAAAAUCGAUAAUAUAUAAAUACCAAUUAAUCA
rnacentral:lncRNA from 1 species